GUUUUGAAGCUUUCUGUCGUUCGUUUCUCUGUAACUGCCGUUUGGAAGCACUGUUGUAGGCGAAAACUACCAUUGAAGACGAAAAAGCACUUUCAUGAGCACUAGAUGUGUGAAGGAUUUCGAUUCAAGAGUUUUAUUGGGAGAAGUUUCGAACCAGGUAUGGGGAUCUACGGACUUUAAUUGUUUGCUUGUAUAUGAUUCAUUUAUAUGUUUAGGGAAGAAGAAAUUAGCGGUUGAUGUUUUGAUUUUAUUAAGUGUAUUAAUUUGUAUGGGUAGUUAAUCCUAUGUAUAUGAUAAAUCACUUAC
rnacentral:sRNA from 1 species